ensembl:lncRNA
UCUUACUUCAAAAAGUGUUUUAUCUUUAUUUUGCGUAAAUACAAGCGACUUGUCUGGAUCAUUAGUUCUUGGGUUGUCUUGGACUCACGUAACUCAUUGGGAUGGAAGGAAGAAGCGCAUGUAUUAAGUAUUCACUUCUAGUCAGCAAAUGGGAGGAAAUGUCUUUUGAAUGCUUUUGACUGCGUGCUGCGUCAUCUGCAGCGGUUCUGCAGCUUGAAAAAAAAAAAUGCUUCCCCUUUCCAUGAUGUAAAAUAAAAAUAAUUACAAUUCGUAUCUGUCCUCUUCACCACACCCUGCUCAUGUUGUACUUAGUCUGCCCCCUCUCCGCCCCCCCCCCCCCCCCCCCCCCGCCCCCUGCAGCCUUCUCCCACCUCAAAGGGCUGCAGCAGGUUUCAUGCAUCAGCCCCUUUCUCAGACACACACACACACGCUGUCACACAGUUCAGUCAGUCUCUCCGCAGCGUUCGGCACCUCAAACUUUAUUUUCCGGCUCACGACUUUGGUAAGUGCUUCUCAGUUCCUUUCCCGCUUUUUAAAAAAAUAUUUUGACCAGCAUCUUAACCUCGUUUUUGCUGCACACGUUUCUCCUCUCUGUUAAAAAUGAAAGCACUAUACACUCAGUUUAAACACUUGAAUCUCCAGCUUAACGUGCUCCACGGUUUAAAUGGUUAUAUUAUUGUGUGUGUGCUUAUUUCCCAUUUUGUAUUUUUAUUUUCGCAUUAAAAAUGAUGCUGCGACCCCCCCCCCCCCCCCUCGACUGAUCUCCGGCAGUCUAAUCAACCGUGACUAAAAAAAAAAAAGUUCCACCCGUUGCAGGCUGACUGAUUCUGUUCAAAUAUCUUUCACAGGAAACCAGCAACGCUGCGAGCGGCCUGCUCGCUUCCUGCCGCCGCAGAGAACGCAGCCGGCUUACAGUGGCAUAAGAUAAAGGCCAUAGACACACUUCCUGUCACGCCUGCAGUGUACGUUUCCAUAAUGCAAUUAUGAACCUUUGGUUAUGGGUUAACCAGCACAACUGGUAACUCUCUCACUGUAUUUGUGUGAGCAAGUGAGCAGAUGUCAGAAUGUAGCAGCUUCUGCAGCGUUUUGAAGCGGCGUUUAUUGGAAUGGUUAAUCUUUCAUGUAAAGCGAGCUUAUGGUUUAUCUGGAAGCAUUGUUUAUUUUUCAAAUUUUCUUUCUUUUUUUUGUUCUAGCUUCUUAGUUUAAACCCAACCAAUGGAUCUUCUGAUGAGAACUUCGCUUUAAAGUACAAGGACUUCUAACUUCUAUAAAGCCGACUUUCUCCUCUACUCUGAGAAGGCAUGACAGGCAUGACAGACAUGACAGACAAAAAGCCAACCGUGCUGGUCCUUUCGCUCUGUCUGAUCGGCCUACUUUUACUGCUGUUCUUCUUUUACAAGAUGUUGAACAGGGAGGCCAAGGGCGAGUACACCGUGCGCCGCCUGGUGUAUAGGGAUGGAGGGGUCAGGGACCGGGUGAGAGGCGCGUUGUUGGCCCUGGGGACGCGCCUCGGAGUCCGGCUGUGGCCCUGGAGCGACGCCGAUGAGGAUGGAGAGGAGAUGCGGGAAGUGGAGGAUGAGGAGGGUCAGUUGGAGGAGGGGGGCAGCCAGUCGAGUGACAGCGAGGGGGACGGCGAGGAGGACGGGGAGCAGUGCAGCACGUCAAAGGGAGAGGAAGACGACGGACAUCGUAGCUCAGACUACGAGAGUUCGGAGGCCGGCGAGCCAGACAGAGUAACGGAUCAGGGGGAAGCAGGAGGGACGGGGGAGAAAGUGGGAGAUGGGGAAUGUAAAGGUGAGGCGAGUGGGGGAGCCGGGGUGUUGAUAGAUCUGAAGAAGUUCUCUGGAAGUGCCAUCUGGUCUGAGGAAGAGGGUGGUGGGCGCAUGCUCAGUGACGUGACUGCACUUUGAGAACAGGAUAAAACGAAAUAUCAAAUUACAGGGGUGGCUUCGGACGUAGCAGCCGACUCAGGUCUCGAUUCUCCUUCAUUAGAUGUUAAAAAUAUUGUGAAUCGGUUUUUUUUAAUUGUCAAUUGAGGUCUAAAUGAUGUUCCACCCCCCCCCUAAAAAAACAAGAGACGCAUAUUGAUAUGCAGGAGAACAAUGUAUUGCAAUUUGAAUGUGUGUAAAUGUUUACCUGUAAAACUUUUCAAAUUAACUUUGUAUCAUCGUCAGCAUAUUGCAUAGUGUUUAUUGUGGAUUUUUAAAACUUUAAAUGUCUAAUUUACAUGACAAUAAAAACUGACUGUGCUU